GCAUUGGUACCCCCAUCAUCGAGCGCAUGGAUGCAACAGUGGAAAGAAGAUGAUGGUCGUGUGCAUCAUCAAGCACACCAUGGGUGGAGGGGAUGUUGCUGUUCUGUUAGCCCAGGGUGAAUUCGACAUAAGAUCGCUAUCGAAGGAGCUCCAUGCUGAAGAAGAUAACACUUGUUACCUUAUAGAGCUUGUAAUUGUGAUUGCCAUACCUGUAGAGCUUGUACAGUUAUUCCACUUGUAGAGCUUGUAAAGUUUGUGUUAGAGCUUGUAUUACAUGUUAUUUGGAGAGCAGGAGCUGAAUGAAUCUGGCUGAUAUAAGUUGAAGUAUUACAUGUGUUUUCUGCCA